AUAAAGUGCCACGGUUUUGUUACUUUGUAGUAGCUCUAUUGUUUGUUUGUUUUACAUGUUUCGGAUGUUCUUGCAGAGUUGAAGAUAGUUUACUUCCUAGUCCAAACCUCCCGCAGGACGACGGGGAAUGGGAGCGGGCAGGGUUUGAACCUGGGACCAUCGAUAAAUCCAAACGACAGUCCAGCGCAAACCGCACGACCAGGCAUCCAUCCAUCUAUUGUAACUCUACACCGCGGACAGGACAAUUUGUCAUUACUUUAUUCUGACUCUACACCAAAGACAGGACAAUGGUUUUCAUGUUUAACUAUCACGCUAAAAAUAAUUGGCGAUUCGUGUUCAUUAUUCGUUAAUAAUAGUAAUAAGAUUUCGUUUUUUUUUUUCACAGUUCGUUUGUUGUAACUUGUAACAGGCCACGUUCAACUUUGAAAACAUAUUUGAUCGUAUUUUUUAGGACAAGACUCUGGCCCCAAAACCCUCCUAUAGAACAAAAACUAUACUGCCUGAUCUGGAAACCACUGCGCAGUUCAUCUCAGAUAUAGGAUUACUGAUCUAAAUCUUUCGACAUCUAUAUGAGAACGAAGAAGAAGUUAAGUCUAUUGAUUGCUGCACCUGUUCAACAGUCAGGUAUUCUGUGUUUCUAACACUGGACCCAAUGAUUGCAUCGUUGUCAGCAACAGUUGGAUUGUCUCCCAUUGCUCAUGUGACUUACACCAGUCGCAGAUGAAAUAACUCGAGACUCUACAGUAGAAAGGUUAAAACGCGGUUGACUGUUAUAUCAUGAUGUGAAAAACGAACUACUAUUUAUUCUCUGUUCCAAGAACGAUCUUCGUUACAAGGAAACAAAAUUCAUUGUAGAAUCUUUAACAGUGUCCAUUGAGAAAUGUUCUGGUGAUGUGGCAGGUCUGUAGCAGUAUCGACUUCUGACAGGCAACGAGAAUCUUUUUGGCGAUGUAAAGGCCCUGUGGAGUGUGUGGUAUGCUAACUGCAGUUAUCCCCUCAGUUGAUAUAAUAACAGAGAAUAUUGUUACUUUAGACAACUUCCAUAACCGCUUAAUCUCCAAGCUUGGGUUCCUAUAUUUUCGAUAUUCUUCCAUUUUCUUAAUAUUAUUAUUAUUAUUAUGUCCCUGCACAUGUUUGUACGUAUGGAUAAAUAGACACAUGUUGUAGGAAUCUAUUAUUUAAGUAGCCAAGUGAAAGAGAUUUGAUGAGAUUAAAGGAUGAACUUGAAGAUCAACAAUUUAUAUGUGUUAUGAGAGAAGUCCAUAGAAAGCUAAUAGAUAACAAUCACACAGACAAAAACACUUUCUAAAAGAGAAAAUGAUUUGGUGUCUGUCUCUUUAUCUGUCAUAAAGCAUGUCUCUUUACCUGCAUGUCUCUUUAUCUGCAUGUCUCUUUACCUGCAUGUCUCUUUACCUGCAUGUCUCUUUAUCUGCAUGUCUAUUAAUCUGCAUGUCUCUUUAUCUGCAUGUCUCUUUAUCUGCAUGUCUCUUUACCUGCAUGUCUCUUUAUCUGCAUGUCUCUUUAUCUGCAUGUUUCUUUACCUGCAUGUCUAUUUACCUAACAUAGUUAGUCUCUUUACCUAUUCUACAUCAGUCUUUGUACCUAUCAAACAUCGCUUCUUUACCUUUCAUAGUCCAUCACAUUGAACAUUCGUUUCUUUACCCAUAAUAUAUGUUUCUUUAUCAUACACCUUUCUCUUUGCCUGACAUAUACCAGUCUCUUCACCAAUCAAUAAGUAUCACACACGUUGCCUUGAAUGUUAUAAUAAUGGUCAGAUAUAUAAGACGUCCAAAUUACAAUGAGGGAAAAUCUGUAUAUAUACGUGUUGCAUAUAUAUGUGUGUAUGUGUGUGUAUAUGUGUGUAUGUUUAUGUGUGUGUGUGCGUGUGAACGAGCGCAUAUGUUCGUGCGGCUAAAGAAAGCAAAACAAAAAGAAAAAAAAAUAAACAACAUUUCCGUGCGCAUGCGCAUACCCCUGAGGUUUUCUUCCAAAAAGGGGGUGGACAUGUAAACAGGAAGUCGGAUGGGAACGGAACUUAUUGUAUCAACCAGAGUCUCCUGACAUCUUGGUUAGCACUGUGUAUCCUCAGUGUCAGUGGUUCUCAGCUUUAUACUAAAGAGGCAUCGCACGUUCUACUUUCUUGUUUAGAAGUUCAAGUAUAAAUUGACCGAUUGAGACAAAAAGCUGUUGGAAAUCUAACUUAAUCAUAGAUUGUAGAUUGCGUAGUGUACAUAAAAUUGCUACAUUUUGUCUUCUGAAACUCUACAUUAGAAGUAGAGGAGGCUAUACUAAAAAAAAUAGUUGUCUCUUCUCAUGGUAAUAUUUACUAGCAUUUAUAAUUUAUACCUACAGUUAUGCCGUUUGUCAAAUAAUGUUAUAAUGUAGGUAUUUGUAAUUAAACAUAUAGUUUUUUUAUUUGAAAAUGCUAAAGCUUCUCUUAACACCUAUCAGAGUAAAAGAACAAAAAGAAGCUUAGAACCGCUGAUCUAUCACUACCCCCGGUCGCGGUGUUGUCAGAUAUAUAUCUAAGUAAAACAACCUCACCAGAGCAGAUAGUUGUAUUGUUUCAUGUCUUUCAUUCAUUCAAAUGGUGUUGUGUUUUUAAUGUACAAAGAAUCGUGACUAUUAAAUUGAAUCUAAGGGAAGUAAACCCAAGUGUAAUAGAAAUCAUGCCUUUGUUAAUGUUCUUUUGUCGCCCUCAAGUACACAUCAAAUAACUAGUAGAUGUACGCUCGUAAAAACCUUAACGAAGCAAACAUUGUUAAUGUCUGAAUAAUUGUCUCAUAUUUAUAGUACUUUAGUCCGAAGAGUGGAAGAUUGAUUG